rnacentral:rRNA from 1 species
CCUACGGGCGGCAGCAGUGGGGAAUAUUGGACAAUGGGCGAAAGCCUGAUCCAGCCAUGCCGCGUGUGUGAAGAAGGCCUUCGGGUUGUAAAGCACUUUCAGUGGGGAAGAAAGCCUUGGGGCUAAUACCCUCGAGGAAGGACAUCACCCACAGAAGAAGCACCGGCUAACUCCGUGCCAGCAGCCGCGGUAAUACGGAGGGUGCGAGCGUUAAUUGGAAUUACUGGGCGUAAAGCGCGCGUAGGCGGUCUGAUAAGCCGGUUGUGAAAGCCCCGGGCUCAACCUGGGAACGGCAUCCGGAACUGUCAGGCUAGAGUGCAGGAGAGGAAGGUAGAAUUCCCGGUGUAGCGGUGAAAUGCGUAGAGAUCGGGAGGAAUACCAGUGGCGAAGGCGGCCUUCUGGACUGACACUGACGCUGAGGUGCGAAAGCGUGGGUAGCAAACAGGAUUAGAUACCCGAGUAGUC